rnacentral:rRNA from 1 species
UAUCAAUAAGCGGAGGAAAAGAAACCAACAGGGAUUGCCCCAGUAACGGCGAGUGAAGCGGCAGCAGCUCAGAUUUGAAAUCUGGCCCCCAGGGCCCGAGUUGUAAUUUGCAGAGGAUGCUUUUGGCGCGGCGCCUUCCGAGUGCCCUGGAACGGGACGCCAUAGAGGGUGAGAGCCCCGUCUGGUCGGACGCCAAGCCAGUGUAAAGCUCCUUCGACGAGUCGAGUAGUUUGGGAAUGCUGCUCUAAAUGGGAGGUAUAUGUCUUCUAAAGCUAAAUACCGGCCAGAGACCGAUAGCGCACAAGUAGAGUGAUCGAAAGAUGAAAAGCACUUUGAAAAGAGGGUUAAACAGUACGUGAAAUUGUUGAAAGGGAAGCGCUCGUGACCAGACUUGGGCCCGGUGAAUCAUCCAGCGUUCUCGCCGGUGCACUUCGCCGGGCUCAGGCCAGCAUCAGUCCGCCGCGGGGGACAAAGGCGUCGGGAACGUGGCUCCCCCGGGAGUGUUAUAGCCCGUCGCGCAAUGCCCUGGGGCGGACUGAGGUUCGCGCUCCGCAAGGAUGCUGGCGUAAUGGUCAUCAGCGACCCGUCUUGAAACACGGACCAAGGAGUCGUCUUCGUAUGCGAGUGUUCGGGUGGCAAACCCCUACGCGGAAUGAAAGUGAACGCAGGUGAGAGCUUCGGCGCAUCAUCGACCGAUCCUGAUGUUCUCGGAUGGAUUUGAGUAAGAGCAUACGGGGCCGGACCCGAAAGAAGGUGAACUAUGCCUGUAUAGGGUGAAGCCAGAGGAAACUCUGGUGGAGGCUCGCAGCGGUUCUGACGUGCAAAUCGAUCGUCAAAUAUGGGCAUGGGGGCGAAAGACUAAUCGAACCUUCUAGUAGCUGGUUUC